UACGGAGGGGGCGAGCGUUAUUCGGAAUUAUUGGGCGUAAAGGGCGCGUAGGCGGCCCUGCAAGUCAAAGGUGAAAUCCCUCGGCUCAACUGAGGAACUGCCUUUGAAACUGUGGGCUUGAGGCCGGGAGGGGUAGCGGAAUUCCCAGUGUAGCGGUGAAAUGCGUAGAUAUUGGGAGGAACACCAGUGGCGAAGGCGGCUACCUGGACCGGUUCUGACGCUGAUGCGCGAAAGCGUGGGUAGCAAACAGG
rnacentral:rRNA from 1 species